UGGGUCUAGCCUUGAAAUCAUG
rnacentral:miRNA from 1 species